AUUGAGUUAGUUUAAUUGAAAAUUCUGGGUUGUGGUCCUGGUGAUGGGGGAGKYCCCCCNACUCAAUA
rnacentral:tRNA from 1 species